GACGAACGCUGGCGGCGUGCCUAAUACAUGCAAGUAGAACGCUGAAGGAGGAGCUUGCUUCUCUGGAUGAGUUGCGAACGGGUGAGUAACGCGUAGGUAACCUGCCUGGUAGCGGGGGAUAACUAUUGGAAACGAUAGCUAAUACCGCAUAAGAGUAGAUGUUGCAUGACAUUUGCUUAAAAGGUGCAAUUGCAUCACUACCAGAUGGACCUGCGUUGUAUUAGCUAGUUGGUGAGGUAACGGCUCACCAAGGCAACGAUACAUAGCCGACCUGAGAGGGGGAUCGGCCACGCUGGGACUGAGACACGGCCCAGACUCCUACGGGAGGCAGCAGUAGGGAAUCUUCGGCAAUGGACGGAAGUCUGACCGAGCAACGCCGCGUGAGUGAAGAAGGUUGUCGGAUCGUAAAGCUCUGUUGUAAGAGAAGAUCGAGUGUGAGAGUGGAAAGUUCACACUGUGACGGUAUCUGACCAGAAAGGGACGGCUAACUACGUG
rnacentral:rRNA from 1 species